AAAAUGUCAUCCAAAAAUAGAACGUUAAAGAAACUUACUACAUCUCUUAAUAUGGUGAUUAAUGAACUAAAAUCACAUGCGAAUCAACCAAAACUAAAAAAUAAUGAUUUAAAUAAUAUAGCAAAAGAUUUAACUCCAUGUCUUGAAAAUUUCACUCAAGGACAAAAUAAUUUAUAUUUAUUGCUUGGAUCACUUAGGAUACAACCUGUUAAACAAAUAAAAAUUGUAUAAAAAUAUUUUUGUCAAAGCCUCUCCACCUAUUAUACAGCAUCUUACUUGUACAUAUUGUAAUAAAAAUGGACAAAAAUCUUAUCCGUGUAAAGUAAGAAAAUGUGCACUAAGAGGAGUCAAAACAAUUUGGGUUCCUAAGAAAAUUGAAGCUAACACACUAGGACCUAACAAGGCUUGGGUACCAAAAUUCAAUAGUUGAAAUUUCUUUGAAAGUGUGUCUAGAGCCAAAUCAAGAAAAGAAGACGGUACUUAGAUAUCGGAUGCUCAGAUAUCUAACCGUGUGGAAAAUUCAUGUUUGGCAUAUCUAUCUUCAAAAGAUGGUAGGUAUGUAACUUUUGGAGACAAUAGUAAAUGUAAGAUCAUUGGCAUGAGUAAUAUUGGUAAGGAUCCUUCUUCCAUUAUCAAAAAUAUAUCACUUGUUGAUGGAUUAAAGUAUAGUUUACUUAGCAUUAGUCAAUUAUGUGGCAAAAGGAAUAGAGUUAUCUUUGAUAAAUCUUUAUGUACCAUAGAAAAUAUCAACGACAACAAAAUACUAUUCAUUGGUCAAAAAAUUGAAAAUGUGUACAUUUUUAAAAUUGACGAUGUUGCAUCAUUGGAUGGAACUUGUCUUGCGGUCAUGAAUGAUAAUAGUUGGCUAUGACAUAAAAGAUGCUUACACGAACCUUAUUCAAUCUUUUCGGAAAGGAAUUAGUUUUGGCCUUCCCAAAAAUUCUUUUGAGAAAGAUUGAUUGUGUGGAGCAUAUCAACAAGAAAACAAACCAAAAUAUCAUUUAAAUCUAAAAAUAUUGUUUUCACCUCCAGGCCACUAUAACUUCUUCAUAUGGAUUUAGUUCGCCCUUCUAGGACGAUAAGUCUCGGUGGUCAACUAUACGUACUGUAGUCAUUGAUGAUUUCUCAAGAUUUACUUGGGUAAUGUUUCUAGCUCAUAAAGAGGAAGCAUUUCCUUUAUUUUCAAAAUUAUGCUGUCAACUUCAAAAUGAUAAGAGAUUUUCUAUUUCAAACAUAAGAGCCGAUCAUGAUAGAGAACUAGAAAAUGAAUUCUAUGCAAAAUUUUGUGAUGAACAAGGUAUAAGACAGAACUUCUCGGCUCCUAGAACUCCUCAACAAAAUAAAGUUGUUGAGAGGGAAAAUAGGACUCCAAAAGAGGUGGCUAGGACCAUGCUUUGUGAAAAUUCUCUUCUAAAAUAUUUUUAGGCUGAAGAUGUGAAUACCGCAUGCUUCAUCAUUAAUCGUGCCAUGAUUAGACCAAUUUUAAAGAAACCCCCUAUGAAUUAUGGAAAGGAAGAAAACCCAAUGUAAGCUUUUUUUUUUAUGCAUUUGGGUGUAAAUAUUUUGUUCAUAAUAAUGACAAAGAUAACUUAGGCAAAUUUGAUUCAAAAUUGGAUGCAAUUAUCUUUUUAGGAUAUUCAACUACAAGCAAAACAUUUCAAAUUUUUAAUAAACGUACUCUAUAGUUGACGAAUAGUUCAUGUUGCUUUUGAUGAAUCUAAUGAAAUUUUCUUCAAGAAUUUUCUAGAAGUAGUAUGCAGGGAUUGAAGAAAUUAUGAAAAAACUUAAAAUUGCCAACAAAUGAGGAUCUCAAGAAGGAACUUUUUUAGAAAGACUUCAACUAGAGGUGAUUUUAACCUAAUUAGAACACAAGAGCAGGUAGUGACCACUCCAAACUUCCAAAAGAAUGGAAGUUCAUCCCCACAACUACCCAACUAACUCAUCAUUGGGCAUCAAUCAAAAGGGGUAACCCUAGACAAUUCUAUUAGAAAAUAUUCGUGGUAAAUUACAUUUUUUCUCAAAUAGAUCUAAAAUUUUCAUGAAGCCAGAAUUCGAUCAAAUAUGUACUUAUUAGCAUGCAAUAAGACUUCAAUCAUUUGAAAGAAGUAAGUUUUGGACCUUAAGUACCUAGACCUAAUGAAUCAUCUAUAAAGUACCUAAAAUGCAUAUUUAGAAACAAGAUAGAUGAUCUAGAAUCAUUGUAUGAAUAAAACUAGACUUGUUGCCCAAUGAUAUAGUCCAAGGGAUGAAUUUGAUAAAUCAUUUGCCCCCGUAGCAUGAUUAGAAGUCAUUAGAAUGUUGCUUGCAUUUGCAUGCUACCUGAAUUUUAAACUCUAUCUAAUAGAUGUUACAAUGUCAUUUUUUAAAUAGACACAUAAUGAAGGAGGUACGUUCACAACCUUUUCGGGUUUGAAAUCAAUGUUUUUCAAACUGUGUUUAAUUAUCCCGAAACACUUGAUGGUUUGAAGCACGUACCAGAAGCCUAAUAUUGAAUAGGCAAGCAAUUCUUGAAUAUGCAUGGUUUUAAAUUGAAAAAUAUAUAAUCUCUCUUUUAUCAAAACAAAAAUUCACAUGCUCAUUAUACAAAUAGAUGUGGAUAUCUCAUAUUUGGUGCAAUUUAAUGAAAUAUGUGGCAAAGUUUUUUCUAAAUGGUAUGCAAGGCAAAUUUUAUAUGAGCAUGAUGGGCGAGCUCAUUUCUUUCUUGGAAUUAUAAAUUAAGCAAUCAAGCUAGGGAACAUUCAUAAAUCAAGCUAAAUAUACAAAGGAACUUCUCAAAAGAUUUGGCAUGAUAGGAACAAAGUACUUAGUCACUCCAAUGAACACAUCAAUAAAACUCGACAAAGAUAAAAAUAGUAAAAAUGUUGAUGAAAAGAUCUAUUAAGGUAUGAUUGGCUCCUUACUCCACUUAUAGACAAGUAGGCCAGAUAACAUGUUUAGUAGGGCUGUCCUUCGAUCGGGUUUGGUUGGGUUAGGGUCGGGUCCUACUCGACCCGACAAAAGUCGGGUUGAGAAAAUACUCACCCGAACCCGACCGAUUAUAUAGUUGGGUCGGGUUGGGUGUAGGGUCGGGUGAAGGGUGGGUCGGUGGUCGGGGUGUAGGUCAGUUAGAUUGAUCUCUUUGCUCUGUUCAAAGACAAUUGCUAAACAUUUCUCCUUUUACAUUUUUACCCAGCCCUUGAUGAACGAGUCGUGUGUCGGAGCUUUAAUGUCCAGAAUGGCGUUCUUCAAUCCCUCCCAUUUUCUGUUUGAGUACAUUGGUGAAUGGGAAAGGAUUACAUAACUAUGUUUGGCCAAUAUUUUUUUAGACACCCCCUAUGUUAUAAAUGCUGUCAUGGAAGCCCUUGAAGGGAUGUGAGUUGCAACAUGGGUGCACUUGUAGUGCCUUAACUACUGUCUUCAGGGACUGUUCCCAUCCAAGCAAGGAAAGUUAGGGAAGUGUAUUGGAAGAAUCUAUAACUCACUUUAUAUUGGCGCACAAUAUGCAACUCAUUCCACCAUCCACCCGUUUUGCUUUCUUGAAUUCUCUGUGGAUUACUCUUCAGACUACUCCAGUUUAACAAGGGGCAAUUAAAUUUUAAGCUUCACAUCUGAGUUCUGACAUGUCUUAUCAUAUACCUUAAAGACAUCAUCCCCAAACCAUAUAAACCAAAAAAAAUUACAACAACAAUCAUAAACACAUAUUUAGCAACAUCCACCCAUAAUAAAAUAACAAGUCCAUAACAAAUAAAAAAAAAGUUCCUCCAGUUAUGCUCCUCCCAGUUUUUCCAUAUUCCAAACAUGUUAACUCGUUAAAUCAUCUACCAAACUUGUAAAGUACAGACACUCAAUCCGCCUUAAUCCGUAGAAGUUACCUCUUCUUGUACGAGGCUCUAAAAAAAACAAAACAAGCAAAAUAUUAAGUUAAUACAAUCAAUUAAAUGAAUACUAAAACAAAUUAUGAAGUUUGUAUGAAAAUUACCUUGUUCCAGAUCUUCAACUUUGUCCAUAGCGUGGUCGAAGAUGAUGGAACCGGUUAGAAGCCAGUUUGGGUGCACUACAAGGUCUCGACUAUUGACGGUGACAAUGACUACAAAAUGUAUCAAGUAUGGCGACCACCCGUCUAAAGGCCGACUACUCGAAGCACGGCACAGGAGCUUGGCCAAUCUAAUACAUCACUUGCUAUUGGGCCAAGAUGGAUACUUUUUGGAAUUGGUCUUCCACCAUAAGCAACAUAUCAAAUGAAUGAUUCUCCUUAUACGUGCACACAACUCCACCAAAUACUGUCGAGCCCUCCGACGAACAAGCCACUAUAAAACUCUUGUCACAAAAAGUGUCAAAUUCAUUAUACAAGCUCGAGCGAACCAUCCAAGAUCAUCAUCCACCACUAACCGUUGUGUCGGCGUUGCGAUGUGCUUCUACUCUAACUUCAACCUCUUUUGCGAUAAGCACAUACAACUCAAUUCACUUUGACUUCACAAGUUUCUCCAUUUGGGCUUCACCCACCUCGUACCCCCUUUGUAUUUGGUCCAACAAAAUUUCACCCACCUUAACUUAAAUCGGGGAUCUAGUACGAACUGUGCCAUCAUAAAUUAGGAAAUUGAUUUAUCAUUUUUUCCACGCCAUGUCCAACCCCAAUACUUGUCAAUUUCUUUUGCAUGUGCAGAUGCCAUUUGAGACAAAAGAGAUCAUAGUUCUUGAAUUAAUUUCGCUAAUAGAAGCCAUUUCAUAACUAAUGAUUUACUCAUCAAGAUGUAUUGGAUGUGACAAAGAUAAGCCCAAAAAUUUUUUAGUGGCAUCAUAGGAAAGUUGUUUCAAGAAUUUGACCAACACUACAAUUUUUCCAAUCAAGCUUGGUUGGGAGUAUUGGGACCCUAAUGGCUCCCACUCCCACGUUGUCGUGAAUUGGUAUCGGGCAUCAUCCCCAUCCCACAUCCUCAUCACUUUCCAUUUACACAUUACAACCAAAGUAUGUCCUAAAAACCCAUUGUCUUUCCUCCGCCAUUCGUUGGAAUGCCUUCUCA
rnacentral:lncRNA from 1 species